UCCGCCGCGCACGACCCCACCAUGCCACUACCAUUCACCUCGACGGCCACCCCCUCGUUCUCCCCCAGCCCCCCGUCGAUCUCUUCCUUUUCCACCCGAAUCUGGCCUCACCUCUCUCUCUCUGUCGGAUUUCUCUACAUCGCCGCCGCUAGGGGCGCCGUUCGCCAGUCCUCCGUCGAAGCCCCCUUCUCCUCCACGCAAGGUCAAGCGAUACAAACACGCUCUGGAGGCUGCUGGUGUCGACCUAGUAAAAAUUCUGGUAUGUAUGAUUAUGGCCAUGGCUACGUCCUACUCAUGUAGCUAUCACGAGGAUCUCUUCGGUGGCUAAUAUUCUAUUGAGCAGCUCAAGAAUGCGAUCAGCCCCAGGACUAAGGAACUAUUUUGGCUAUACAAAGGAUAUAAAGUCAGUCGUCAGAUCAGACUUGAUUUAUAUUUCCGUGACAGAGGUUGUUGAGAUCACAAAGGGAAGUAAGGUGAAAUAUGAGCUUGACAAGAAGAUAGGACUAAUUAAAGGUAUUGACCAUUUCGUCCUCUUAAAUGGAAGAUUUUAGUGCUAGUCUGAAAAGUAUAUUCUUUCGGCGUUGCGUUGAAGCAUACUUAACUAGAAAAGAUUGGUUCAAAAUGCUUCCAGUCCAAAUGCUUUUUUGGGUGUUUCUGCUAAAUGAGGACUGUAAGAUCUUUGGAAUGGUUUUUGAGUUAUACUUAUAUUCUGGGAGAAUCUUAGUUCUUGCAUUUUGCUACCUUGUACUUUGAUUAGAUAUCUUCCAUCAGAUUGAUCUUACCAUCUGCAUCAAUGGCUCAAGUUGAUCGUAUUUUGUAUUCAUUAGUAGUAUAUCCUCAUAACUAUGGUCUCAUUCCUCACACAUUGUGUGAAGACAAUGACCCAUUGGAUGUUUUAGUUCUAAUGCAGGUAGUUUUUUAGUGUUCCUA